CCUCGGAUCAGGUAGGGAUACCCGCUGAACUUAAGCAUAUCAAUAAGCGGAGGAAAAGAAACCAACCGGGAUUGCCUCAGUAACGGCGAGUGAAGCGGCAAGAGCUCAAAUUUGAAAGCUGGCUCCUUCGGGGUCCGCAUUGUAAUUUGCAGAGGAUGCUUCGGGUGCAGCCCCCGUCUAAGUGCCCUGGAACGGGCCGUCAUAGAGGGUGAGAAUCCCGUAUGGGGCGGGGUGUCUGCGUCCGUGUGAAGCUCCUUCGACGAGUCGAGUUGUUUGGGAAUGCAGCUCUAAAUGGGUGGUAAAUUUCAUCUAAAGCUAAAUACUGGCCGGAGACCGAUAGCGCACAAGUAGAGUGAUCGAAAGAUGAAAAGCACUUUGAAAAGAGAGUUAAACAGCACGUGAAAUUGUUGAAAGGGAAGCGCUUGCAACCAGACUCGCUCGCGGGGUUCAGCCGGGCUUCGGCCCGGUGUACUUCCCCGCGGGCGGGCCAGCGUCGGUUUGGGCGGCCGGUCAAAGGCCUCCGGAAUGUAGCGCCCUUCGGGGCGCCUUAUAGCCGGAGGUGCAAUGCGGCCAGCCUGGACCGAGGAACGCGCUUCGGCACGGACGCUGGCAUAAUGGUUGUAAACGACC
rnacentral:rRNA from 2 species